rfam:Nitratiruptor tergarcus DSM 16512 genome assembly, contig: NitteDRAFT_scaffold1.1
CGCGGAGUAGAGCAGUCUGGUAGCUCGUCGGGCUCAUAACCCGAAGGUCGCAGGUUCAAAUCCUGCCUCCGCAA